GACGGGGGCUGUUGGUAAUAUUUAAUAGAAAAACAAAUCCUAUCAAAGAAACGCCAAUAAUCUAUCCGUAUCUUGGGAAAUGUAUGUAGUGUUUGUGCUUAAGAAAAAAAUAACUUAAGGCAUUUAAAUUUAUUUAAAUGACGGCUUUGAAAUUCUAAUAAUUUAUUUAUAAGGUAAAAUAAGUUGAUGAAUGUAAAAAUAAAGUGCCACAGAGACGAAUUGAUUAGAAAUGAUCAAGUGAAACGCGGUAAACCCCUCAAGCUAGCAACCCAAAAAAAGGUAGGGGCAUAUAAAAAUUAAUAUUCCCUUUUACGUAAUAUAAAAAAUUAAUUUUUAUACUAUUUUAAAAAUAGAGAUAAAUGAUCACACUUAUUGAUGAAAUAAGAACAAAACAUGGCUUAUGCAC
rnacentral:RNase_P_RNA from 1 species